rnacentral:siRNA from 1 species
AGGGUGUUAAGGAAGCCUUG